AAAUCUUCUUCCACCCCUCAGACCCGUGGAACGUACACCCUCUCUCAGCGUGUUUCGAUCAAAGUGCCGAACACCAACUCUUAUUCAUUACAUGGGUGGUGGAAAUGUCAUUGCUGGCGAUACCCAUGAUUAAAAUUGAAAUAAAACUUGAGAAAUAAACAGAUUUUAAACUUAAAACUGCGGAGGCGCAGAUGUGAAGUUGGAGAAGUAUAAGAAGACAAUGGCCGGCUGAUCUGAGCAGGAUUAUCGCUUGAGUAUAUUAAACAGAUACAUUUUUUCACUUACAAUGGAAGUGACGAUUGAAAUUAAAUACAAGAAUUAUCGGGACUUUAAAAAACAAAGAUUAGCAAAGGUUGAGAUGAAAAAUUAGUACAGAAGGUUACUUAAUUCAACUCUAGUUGAAAAUGUGCGAUACCGGAAUCCGCCUUUUGCCAUUCAUCGGCAACUGAGCAGGAUGCGUAACAGGGAGGAAGUUCUGUAAUAGAACGGAUGUGAUUAUGGUGAUACGGUGUGGUGAACGGUGAUUACAAGUAAAGAUUCUUCAGAAGAAUGAGUACUAAGAAAUACAGGAUGGCGCUAUGUAUGAAUCAUAGCUUUGAUUUUACGCUUACACGUCAGCGAAAGUGCUCCUUUGCCCCCUGUUUUCAAUCAAAGAAGCCUGCUCUCGUGGAAUAAUAAAAUUCUGUGGGUCUCUACUGAACGGAUCCUCCAGACCUUUUUUUUUAAAGUUACUAAUGUAACCUCCUUGCUCAGGAAUAAUACAUAUAUAUUUACAGUGGUUGACUUAAGACUAAGAACUUAAGGCUAGGUUGUUAGAAUAAGUUGUGCUCCCAGGACAGGGGGCUGGUAAGAGGGAUAUUUACAGCGGGACGCUAUAAAUAUGUUUUAUGACUAUGUUUUCCAGACUUUACCCCGGCUUUAUUGUGGGCCAGCAGGACGAUUUCAAUGUUCGGGUUUGAUCGUCCGCCAGAGAUCCACCGAAGACAGGACUUCGGCUGGAUGCAAGGGACAAACUACAGACAUCCACCCAUGCAAGGACAAGUUACACCUAAAGAUAAGGCUAGACAUGAGGUUGGGGUUUUAAAUCGACCGUGUUGGAACAAGAUCGUUCUUUAAAAAAAUAAAAAAUUGCUUCGGCACCAGUUGAUUUUUGUAACAGAAUCAACUUGAAGAAUGUAGGUGUCACACAUGCUGUGUAUAUCCCAUAUAUACCGCUAAGAGAGUGCUUCUCUUGAUAUUCCGAUAUGGUUAUUAAGUUCGGACAAUUUUUGUAUUACGUUCUACCUUUAUAGAGAGGUUUUAGCGUUAAUUUCUGUAGAUCAGACGAAUUAUCUUUCUUUUCUAACUCUUGUUGCCGUAAAACAUAGUCUUUCAGAGAUGUUUCCAACUCUGCAAGAGUCUUACGAGGCCAUAAGGUUACUAUUGACAAAAUAGAAGAAGGCAAGCCAUCAAGUAUGUGUCUCAUUAUCGUAUUUUCCUUCAUUUGAGGAUCAAUUUUUUGACAUAAAGUUCUUAAUUUCAAGAAAUGCUCUUGGACUGAGAAAGAGCCUAAUUUAAAAUUCUGUAAUUCUAAUUCUAUUUGAUGUUUUAAGUUUUCAUUUUUGAAGGUUUUAGAAAAUUCUUCUUUAAGGAGAUCGAACGUCAAAUCGUCGUGUUUUUCCUUCGAAAAUUUCCAUUCGAAAAUUUGUAAAGUGCAAGCGCUUCAUCUGUUACAAAGUCAGGAAACAAAAGAGGAACAGUCUUUUCGUACCAAAAAUUAGCCACAAUACAUUUCUGUACAUCUUUCAAAAAUGCAGCCACAUCCUAUUUACCACCAAAUUUUUGAGGCCAAAUAAUCGGCGUUUUCAUUUUAAGAAGUGCUUGUGUGGCCAUGAUUUCGUCUAUAUAGAUAAUGAAUCUAAAGGGUCUGAAUCUUCAAAGUCUGAGGUUAAAUUAACAAUUGUUUCUGAUUGCACUGUUUGUUUUGUAGUUUCCAGUUUCAAAGUUGAAUCUACAGAUUGCGUACUAAGGAAAGGUGAGUUAAAAUUAUAUUCGAGAUUUUUACGGGUGAGAUUUGGCAAGUGAGUUAAAGGAAAAUCUGUAUUCUCACUAGGAUUUCUGCUAUGAGAAGGUGUUGAAGUUUGUGAAGAACUUAAAAAUUCUCCAAAUUCUUCAUUUUCUGAAUCGGAACUCAUUAAAUAUUUUACUAAAAACCUUUAGAGAUUUUUAUAAAAAAUCAUGCGCACACAAGUAAUAAAAAAAAUCGACGCAUAUGAUAUUCAAUCAAAAAGAAAGUUUUUAAUUGGACCUCGUGUGUGUUGCAACGGUUACCCUGAAACGCUGCAAUACUACACAAACUACAGUAGACUCGAAUUACUUAAUUAAAAAAAGUUUAGUCACUCAAAAAAAAAAGAAAAAAUAAUUCCUAUAGGGGCACUAAAUCACCGACACAAUUACACGAGCAUAAAGUACAUGAUUAGUAACAAGUCAGCAAGUCAAAAAAUAAAAAUUCAGGAUGAAAUUCUGAUAAAAAGGAAAAUAUUUAAUUUUUUUCUUAUUAUUAUUAACUUGUAUAAAAGUGUACAACCACCCCUUUGCGGGUUGUCAAUUACAAUUGUUUUAGUAUAAUGUAACUACUAGAACUUAACCUAAAGAUUAGUGUCUAUUUUUUGAGAAUAAAAACAUACAAACAUUCA